UACAGAGGUCUCAAGCGUUGUUCGGAUUCAUUGGGCGUAAAGGGUGUGUAGGUGGCGCGCUAAGUCGGGUGUGAAAUUUCGGAGCUUAACUCCGAAACUGCAUUCGAUACUGGCGUGCUUGAGGACUGGAGAGGAGACUGGAAUUCAUGGUGUAGCAGUGAAAUGCGUAGAGAUCAUGAGGAAGACCAGUGGCGAAGGCGGGUCUCUGGGCAACUACUGACGCUGAGGAGCGAAAGCGUGGGGAGCGAACAGG
rnacentral:rRNA from 1 species